rnacentral:rRNA from 1 species
GAUGAACGCUAGCGGCAGGCCUAAUACAUGCAAGUCGGACGGGAUCCAGGAGCUUGCUUCUGAUGAGAGUGGCGCACGGGGGCGUAACACGUAUGUAACCUACCUUUAUCAGGGGGAUAGGCUCGCGGAAGAGAGGUUAAGUCCGCAUAAAAACACAGCACAGCAUUGGGUAAUGAUCAAAUAUUUAUAGGAUAAAGAUGGGCAUGCGGAACAUUAGCUAGAUGGCGGGGUAACGACCCACAAUGGCGACGAUGGUUAGGGGAUCUGAGAGGAUGGCCCCGCAAACUGGAACUGGGACACGGACCAGAGUGAUGCAGGAGGCGGCAGUAAGGAAUAUUGGUCGAUGGGCGGAAGCAUGAACCCGCCGUGUGGCGUGAAGGACGACGGCCCUUAGAGUUGUAAACUGCUUUUAUACGGGAAUAACCCCAGAUACGUGUGUCCGGCUGAGUACCCUGUAAGAAUGCGGCUCCGAUCUCCCCG